rnacentral:tRNA from 1 species
GUUUUAAUAGUUUAAAGUAAAACAUUGGUCUUGUAAACCAAUAAUGAAAUAUAAUUUUCUUAAAACU